rnacentral:rRNA from 1 species
GGAUUAGAUACCCUGGUAGUCCACGCCGUAAACGAUGUCUACUAGCCGUUGGGGUACUUGAGACCUUAGUGGCGCAGCUAACGCACUAAGUAGACCGCCUGGGGAGUACGGCCGCAAGGUUAAAACUCAAAUGAAUUGACGGGGGCCCGCACAAGCGGUGGAGCAUGUGGUUUAAUUCGAUGCAACGCGAAGAACCUUACCAGGUCUUGACAUACAGCGAACUUUCCAGAGAUGGAUUGGUGCCUUCGGGAACGCUGAUACAGGUGCUGCAUGGCUGUCGUCAGCUCGUGCCG